GGGGGCGUAUCUCAAAUGGUAGAGCGCUCGCUUCGCAUGCGAGAGGUACAGGGAUCAAUUCCCCGCGCAUUUA
rnacentral:tRNA from 1 species